CAGUCGCCGCGGUAAUACGAAGGGGGCUAGCGUUGUUCGGAUUUACUGGGCGUAAAGCGCACGUAGGCGGAUCGAUCAGUCAGGGGUGAAAUCCCAGAGCUCAACUCUGGAACUGCCUUUGAUACUGUCGAUCUGGAGUAUGGAAGAGGUGAGUGGAAUUCCGAGUGUAGAGGUGAAAUUCGUAGAUAUUCGGAGGAACACCAGUGGCGAAGGCGGCUCACUGGUCCGUUACUGACGCUGAGGUGCGAAAGCGUGGGAGCAAACAGGAUUAGAUACCCCGGUAGUCCCUGUCUCUUAUACA
rnacentral:rRNA from 1 species